CUUCUGCAUUGUUUCAUGUGUUCUGUUUUUGAUCUCUGGCAUGCUGUCCUUUGCUGCAGGAACAUGUCCAAACAUGCAUGUGACCAAACUGUCCUUCUCCCUGAACAUCAUCGGCUUCUUCUGGUCAUUGGUGACUUUUUCUAUCAUCAUUAUAGCACCUUUUCGUCGUU